rnacentral:rRNA from 1 species
CCUACGGGUGGCAGCAGUGAGGAAUAUUGGACAAUGGACGAGAGUCUGAACCAGCCAAGUAGCGUGAAGGAUGACUGCCCUAUGGGUUGUAAACUUCUUUUAUAUGGGAAUAAAAUGUUCCACGUGUGGGAUUUUGUAUGUACCAUAUGAAUAAGGAUCGGCUAACUCCGUGCCAGCAGCCGCGGUAAUACGGAGGAUCCGAGCGUUAUCCGGCUUUAUUGGGUUUAAAGGGAGCGUAGGUGGAUUGUUAAGUCAGUUGUGAAAGUUUGGGGCUCAACCGUGAAAUUGCAGUUGAAACUGGCAGUCUUGAGUACAGUAGAGGUGGGCGGAAUUCGUGGUGUAGCGGUGAAAUGCUUAGAUAUCACGAAGAACUCCGAUUGCGAAGGCAGUUCACUGGACUGCAACUGACACUGAGGCGCGAAAGUGUGGGUAUCAAACAGGAUUAGAUACCCUAGUAGUC